GAAACCUGGUUGAUCCUGCCAGUAGUCAUACGCUUGUCUCAAAGAUUAAGCCAUGCAUAUCUAAGAAUAACUAACAUUAUCUUGAAUCUGUGAAUGGCUCAUUAUAUCAGUUAUAGUUUACAUGAUAGUCAAUACUACUUGGAUAACCGUAGUAAUUCUAGAGCUAAUACAUGCAUAAAGACCCGACUUCUGGA
rnacentral:rRNA from 1 species